UUUGUAAAAAAAGGGUGUAAACAAGGCCCUGGCGCAUGGGCCAAAAUAGAGGCCCAAUUCAAAAUUCAAUUCCCAGCCAGGGGGUGAACUAGUGAAAGAGUGGUAGACUUAGCAUACAUGGCCUAAGGCCCAAACAAAUAAAGCCCACACUGAUCAGUAUAUACAAAUGGCAAGUGGAUAAGGCAAUGGUGAUGUGUCCUCAUGAUGUGUACUCAUAAGUUAAGAGUCAUGAAUACACUUAAUGAGUAAUGCAAUAACGCAUGUGCAAAAAUGGAACAAAUGACACUCAUAAUGAAAUAACACAAACACGCAUCUCUCCUCAAUCUCAUCAGCUCAGUCCUAUAUCCGCCGCACCGGAGGCGUCUCCGGCGGCAGAGCCACCACGAAACAACUAUCAAUCACUAUCACCCUACCCCGUUUAGCACCCUGAGUCCGAAUCUGAUCAUGGAAAUUUAUAAAUGUUCUUGAAUCAUGUAAAUCGAAGGGAGACAAAGAUGAAUCCUAAUCAAUCAAAGUUAAAUUAAAUAGUAUACAUUCACAGAUUCACGUUCAGACCAUGGUGUUAUGAAAGCUAGACGUUUCAUCUACACAAUAGUAACUAUUUCACGGCAAACAGAAGAUAAAUAAUUUACCUCCGAAAUAGAGAAUUGUUCCAACAAAUGUUGAACGGAGAAGACGGAGGCGCACGGGAAAUCACUUGAAAAAACUGGUUGGAAUUUGUUGCAGGUGCAUGGUAAUGUUGUGGUGUAACUUGCAGCUUGGGUGGAAUCUUGAGUUUGGAUGCAUUGCAGGUGCAUGGAACUUCACUUGUGUGCAACUGACUUAGAAAGAAUUAGAUUGAGAUUUGGAUUAUAGGUUGUCCAUUUGGCUUGGUCAUUUUGUAGCAGGGUAAUAUGGCAAGGUAGCAAGGGGAGUGCUUGGAAUAGGAUGCUUGGGCUGCUUCGUGGAAUUUGGCAUGUUAGGGAUGUCAUGGAAUCAACUAUGGAUUUCCAUUGUUGUACUUUGGUUGUAAUUAGAAAAUUGACAAUGGGUGUAUGUAUGGUUAUGUUAUGUAUGUGUAUGUGGUCAUGUAUAAUAUUGGAAUUUGGUUGUAAAAUUACAAUGAAAUGAUUGUUAUGAAUGAAUGCCUAAAAUUUGAAUGGUUUA